rnacentral:rRNA from 1 species
AUUGAACGCUGGCGGCAGGCCUAACACAUGCAAGUCGAACGGUAGCACAGAGAGCUUGCUCUCGGGUGACGAGUGGCGGACGGGUGAGUAAUGUCUGGGAAACUGCCCGAUGGAGGGGGAUAACUACUGGAAACGGUAGCUAAUACCGCAUAACGUCGCAAGACCAAAGUGGGGGACCUUCGGGCCUCACACCAUCGGAUGUGCCCAGAUGGGAUUAGCUAGUAGGUGGGGUAAUGGCUCACCUAGGGGACGAUCCCUAGCUGGUCUGAGAGGAUGACCAGCCACACUGGAACAGAGACACGGUCCAGACUCCUACGGGAGGCAGCAGUGGGGAAUAUUGCACAAUGGGCGCAAGCCUGAUGCAGCCAUGCCGCGUGUAUGAAGAAGGCCUUCGGGUUGUAAAGUACUUUCAGCGGGGAGGAAGGCGGUGAAGUUAAUAACUUCACCGAUUGACGUUACCCGCAGAAGAAGCACCGGCUAACUCCGUGCCAGCCGCCGCCGUAA